rnacentral:rRNA from 1 species
UACGGGGGGGAGCAAGCGUCGUUCGGAUUUACUGGGCGUAAAGGGCGCGUAGGCGGCGUGACAAGUCACUUGUGAAAUCUCCGGGCUUAACUCGGAACGGUCAAGUGAUACUGUCGUGCUAGAGUACAGAAGGGGCAACUGGAAUUCCAGGUGUAGCGGUGAAAUGCGUAGAUAUCUGGAGGAAUACCGGUGGCGAAGGCGGCAUCCUGGACCGACAUUGACGCUGAGGAGCGAAAGCUAGGGGAGCAAACGGG